rnacentral:rRNA from 1 species
AUACCCCGGUAGUCCAGGGUGUAAACGCUGCGGGCUUGGUGUUGGGGGUCCUUAGUGGGCGCCCAGUGCCGGAGAGAAGUUGUUAAGCCUGCUGCAUGGGGAGUACGUCCGCAAGGAUGAAACUUAAAGGAAUUGGCGGGGGAGCACCGCAACGGGAGGAGCGUGCGGUUCAAUUGGAUUCAACACCGGACAACUCACCAGGAGCGACGAUUACAUGAAGGCCAGGCUGAUGACCUUGCCUGAUUUUUCGAGAGGUGGUGCAUGGCCGUCGUCAGUUCGUACUGUAAAGCGUUCUCUUAAGUGAGAUAACGAACGAGACCCUCACUAAUAAUUGCUAGCGUUUUCUCUGGAAGGCGCGCACAUUAUUGGGACCGCUGUCGCUAAGACAGAGGAAGGAGGGGACAACGGUAGGUCCGUAUGCCCCGAAUCUCCUGGGCUACACGCGCGCUACAAAGGACGGGACAAUGGGUUCCUACAUCGAAAGGUGACGGCAAUCCCGAAACCCGUUCGUAGUUCGGAUCGAGGGCUGUAACUCGCCCUCGUGAAGCUGGAUUCCGUAGUAAUCGC